rnacentral:rRNA from 1 species
UCUAUACAUGACUCUGCGCAUAUCAAUAAGCGGAGGAAAAGAAACUAACAAGGAUUCCCUUAGUAACGGCGAGUGAAGCGGGAAGAGCUCAAAUUUGAAAUCUUCAAGGUUUUACCUCGACGAAUUGUAGUUUAAAGAAGUGUUUUCUGCUGAAGUUUUGGUAAAAGUUCUUUGGAAUAGGACAUCAUAGAGGGUGAGAAUCCCGUAUUUGACCAUUAUUUUCAGCUUUGUGAUACACUUUCAAAGAGUCGGAUUGUUUGGGAAUGCAGUCCAAAAUGGGUGGUAAAUUUCAUCUAAAGCUAAAUAUUGGCGAGAGACCGAUAGCGAACAAGUACCGUGAGGGAAAGAUGAAAAGAACUUUGAAAAGAGAGUUAAACAGUACGUGAAAUUGUCAAAAGGGAAGCGUUUGACACCAGUGUUGUUUUCUCGAAAAUCAAUUAAAAAUGGCUCGAUUUUGUAUUGCUUGAGACCUUAAAAGCUCACUGUACAUUUUUCGUGUCUUUUUUAAUGCACUUUUCGUUUAACAAGUCAACAUCAGUUUCCUUUGUUGUAAAAGGGUCAUUGGAAGGUGGCUUUCUUUUCGGAGAAAGUGUUUAUAGCCUUUGGCCUCUGCAAUCGGAGAGACUGAGGUCUGCAGCGUAGACUCUUCGGGGUUAGAUACAUUUUGUGCUAAGUUAUAGCUUUUUAUAGACAACUUGUUGACUAUAAUUAGUCUUGUAGCUUACUCGCUUAUGCUAUUUUACCUACGCUUAGGAUGUUGAAGAUGUAGCACAUCAU